rnacentral:rRNA from 1 species
AUUGAACGCUGGCGGCAUGCCUUACACAUGCAAGUCGAACGGUAACAGGUCUUCGGAUGCUGACGAGUGGCGAACGGGUGAGUAAUACAUCGGAACGUGCCCAGACGUGGGGGAUAACGAGGCGAAAGCUUUGCUAAUACCGCAUACGAUCUAAGGAUGAAAGCAGGGGACCGCAAGGCCUUGCGCGUUUGGAGCGGCCGAUGGCAGAUUAGGUAGUUGGUGGGAUAAAAGCUUACCAAGCCGACGAUCUGUAGCUGGUCUGAGAGGACGACCAGCCACACUGGGACUGAGACACGGCCCAGACUCCUACGGGAGGCAGCAGUGGGGAAUUUUGGACAAUGGGCGAAAGCCUGAUCCAGCAAUGCCGCGUGCAGGACGAAGGCCUUCGGGUUGUAAACUGCUUUUGUACGGAACGAAAAGACACUGGCUAAUACCUGGUGUUGAUGACGGUACCGUAAGAAUAAGCACCGGCUAACUACGUGCCAGCAGCCGCUGUAACAC